UACACUUGGCUUCUAGUAUCUUUCUUAGCAUGUAUGGAAAAAUUUAGGUUUUGGUGACUGCUAUAGUUGCCGGCUUGGAGGCUCAUUAUAUUUGUGGUCAAGCUGGCCCUGCUGCUAUUGUCAUUGGGAAUGGCCAGGCAUUAUCAUCAACAUUGUUGUUCUUCAGAUUUUACAGGAGAGAGGUUAGAGCACAUCACGGCAUGGAAGGGCUACAUUUGAUGUUCUGCUUUUUCUGGUUGGUUUCCAAGUCAUUGCUGAAGCUCUUGGUCUGGCUGCUGUUAAGGCAGUGGUUGCCAUUUCAGCCAUAAUUGCAGGUGAACGAUUGGGUAGAUAUGCUGACAUCUAGAGUUUGAUAUGGGGUAGAGUUUUGGUGCAAAUAACUGACCAUGUUCCACAGAUUGUAUAUUUUAUAAUGAUCUUUGAUCUGUAAUAUGGUGGUUGUACACAUUCAGAUAUUCUACUUAUCAUGGUGGAUGGAAAUUACCAGCUAGUACUACUUAUCAUCGAUGAAAUGCAUAAAAUCAGUUGCUUAUAUUGGUUGAGACGAGUUUUGCACUGUAGUGGUUGAACAUUGAGGACUUGGUGGAAGUUUCUAGGCCUAGUGGGAUUAAAUGGAGCAGGAAUUUAGCAUAUUUAAUGUUAAGUGUAUCGAAAUCCUAUAUAUCAUUGAGGUUUUGGUGACUGUUGUAAGUGUCGGAUUAGUGGCUCAUUAUAUUUGUGGGCAAGCUGGCCAUGCUGCUAUUGCCAUUGGGAAUGACCUGACAUUAUCAUCAACUGUUGUUGUUCUGCGGGAAAAUAACUUCACUUGUGUUUUCUUUGUGUAGAGAAAUAUAGAAAUAUGUGAUCAUAAAAUGAUUUUCAUAUCUGCUCCAAAGAGGAAUUACACAAGUAUUUCAACUUGCUAUAUUGUUUAGUAUUUACAUUUAGUACGUAAUAUUUAUGGCUCAACACCCCCCUCAAGCCGAGGAAUAGAUGUCUUCCAUUCCCAACUUGUUAACUAGAUCAUGAAAUUUGGAGCUACUCAGUCCCUUAGUCAACAUAUCAGGUACUUGCUGUCCGAAUGGAAUAUAAGUCAUGCAAACCAUGCCUUGCAAUUUUUCCUUGAUAAGGUGUCUAUCAAUUUCAAUAUGUUUUGUCUUUCAUGCUGUAUAGGAUUAUGAGCAAUAUUGAUUUCUGACUUGUUGUCACAGUAGAGCUUCAUGGGACCUUCCAAUUCAACCUUCGAGUCAUUUAGAAUAAUCUUUAACCAUAGAAGUCCACAUGAUCCUUGAGCAAUUGACCUGAAUUCUGAUUCUGCAGAUGAUAUAGCCACUCCAUUCUGUUUUUUACUCUUUCAUGUGACCAAGUUUCUCCUCCUAGGAAAGUACAAUACCCAGAUGUUAAUUCGGAUUUCACCAUUUGGAUGAACUCAAUGAAGUAUACUAAUUCACUUUUGUGUAUCA